rnacentral:rRNA from 1 species
AGUGAACGCUGGCGGUAGGCCUAACACAUGCAAGUCGAACGGCAGCACAGUAAGAGCUUGCUCUUACGGGUGGCGAGUGGCGGACGGGUGAGGAAUACAUCGGAAUCUACUUUUUCGUGGGGGAUAACGUAGGGAAACUUACACUAAUACCGCAUACGACCUACGGGUGAAAGCAGGGGAUCUUCGGACCUUGCGCGAUUGAAUGAGCCGAUGUCGGAUUAGCUAGUUGGCGGGGUAAAGGCCCACCAAGGCGACGAUCCGUAGCUGGUCUGAGAGGAUGAUCAGCCACACUGGAGCUGAGACACGGUCCAGACUCCUACGGGAGGCAGCAGUGGGGAAUAUUGGACAAUGGGCGCAAGCCUGAUCCAGCCAUACCGCGUGGGUGAAGAAGGCCUUCGGGUUGUAAAGCCCUUUUGUUGGGAAAGAAAAGCAGCAGGUUAAUACCCCGCUGCUCUGACGGUACCCAAAGAAUAAGCACCGGCUAACUUCGUG